rnacentral:lncRNA from 1 species
CAGUAGCCAUCAUAUCCUUUGGAGUCUUUCGUCUUAUGGAAGCUUCAAGUCUUUUAUCCUGUUCCCUUUCUUCUCCAACGUCACUUUGCAAUUUUCUUCUGACAAGCCAAUAUAGGUUGAUUGCUUUUCUUUCCUUCCUCUUUCUUUUCCUUGCAUCAAACUAGUAAAUCGGGCUGGUUGGCUUUGUCUCGUCGCUCCAAUGGCUCC